ACUUUGGCGACUCAACAUUUUCUAGCCGAAAUGACUAUUUUUCCUUUAAUAAAUGAAUAAUUAAUUAAUCCUCCUCAAAAUAGAAAUAGUAAUUAAUAAUCCAUAUACGUUAACUUGGUGGAGUCUUUCUCUUUCAUCUCCGUCCUCUUCCUUUUUCCGGCAAAAACUCUAUUCUCUUCAUUCCUCUUUCUGUCAAAACUUGCCCGCUUCUCUCAUCUACAGCAAAACUUCACUUAUUCCUAUUUUUGUGCUAAAAUGGGAAAACGUGUAGCGUGUGCAUCAUUCAUCGCCCAACUUUUCCUUUCCGUUCUUACUCCGUUCACAUGUCUUCCGCCAGUAACCUACCGUUUCCCGAUGUUCCGUUUCCAGUAGUUGACUUUGGAGACAACAGUGACUACAGCUGGCUACAUCGUGGUGUAGCUUACUGGCCGUUUUUGAUAGCCGGCCUCGCCGUCUUUGCCUUCUUCGCAAUCUCAGCUCUAGUCUACUGGGUUAUCUACCCCGAGUUCAUCAAGUGGCGCCAUUCAACACCACGGUCAGCAGUCGCACCUAUGCCAGUCGGUGAGGUGGAGAUGCUUCCGGCUUAGCUCACAGAUGUUCGGAUGGCCUGCUGUCAAAUAGGAAAGAAUCAAAAAGGGGGAUGCGAAUCAUAUGGCACACAACUAUUUGGGUUAUUUGGAAUUUUAGGAACAACAUCAUCUUCAACAAUGGCGGCAUAGAGGUGGAAGAUGUUUUGGACGAAAUUAAAAUGCUGUCUUGGAAGUGGAGUUUGGCUAGAUUGAGGAUUCAUCUGUGCUUGUAUUAUGAAUGGCGAUGGAAUCCGAAAUGGUGCCUUGGUAUUUUGCGCGCCUGAGUUUCUGUUGCUGUCAUGAGCCUGUAUCGGUUUUUGGCUACUGGUGCUGUGAUGACAGUAGCUGUUUUCUGCUGUCUGGUGUGCAGUUUUCUGUUUUUGACAGCAGGGACGAUUUUGGUUCUAGGAGGCGGGUCACUUAUUUGGUGCUGAUCUUGUGUUUUUUUUUGUAACUUUCUUUCUGUUUGGUUUUAUUUUCAUAUUUAGGGUUUUUUUUAUUGAGUUUGGUUGGUGGAGAGAUGCCCGCUAUUUUGGCCCUCGUUUGUACUCUUUUUCCUCCUUUGCGGGUAUAGUGCAUCUUGUGCUAGCCUAGUUUAAUAAUAUUUGCAAUUUCAAAAAAAAAAAAAAAAAAAAAAGUUAGUGAAGUUAUAAGUUGGUUAGUCAAUUGAGUCCUAUAAGUACGACUAGUAUCUACUCAUUUCAUCAUUUUUUUCGAUCAAAUUUUAAUGGAUUCUCGAGAGUAUUAAUAUGCUCUCUAUCUUUCCAAUUUGUAUGAUCUUUACCCAUCUCAUCCCGUGAUUUACAACACUUCUCUGCAGCUGGUUCUUCAGGGACAUCACAUGAGUCCGAUAUGGAUUUGCAUAUUUGGCCUCAAUCCAUGAUUGGCAGGUUGUGUUGCAGGCGGAGAACACAACACUAUCUAGCUCAUUAAUGGAGCGCGAGGAGAAAUCCAAUAAAUUGAUCUACAAUGAAUCAAUCAUCAUAAUCUGGAUUAGGGGUAGGGUAGAGGUGCCAUUGGCAAUAAUAAAUUCAUGUUGGGAAGUAACCUUUCCUUUGAUAUGGCUGAUGAAAAACUUACGUCAUCUCAUGGAGAUGUUCUUAGUUUAUUUUAGUAAACACGACAAGUUAGUUAAUUUCAGAAUAAAUUAAGUUGUUUGUUUCGACUACUUCACCUUUAUUUUUCUGUACUUUUGGUUAACAAAGAGAAUCUUACAAAUGCCCAGCAAAUGGUGAUUUGUGAAAUUGUGAUUUUAUUUUAUCAGUAGCAUAUGAUGCCUUAUUUAAUCUCAGACAAAGAUACUCUGUGUUGGUUGACAAUUUUUGUUUUUAGUUGUAUUUCUUGGUUUGACUUCAUAGGUGCUGUAAGUAGUGUCAUGAUAAAGGGGUGUGGCCGUGGGUGUUUUGUUGUAUUGGAUGGUGCUUGGUAAUGCAUUGCAGAGUCUGUGCUUAAAUUGUUUAAUGAUAAGUUUUAAUUGGUUGAUGUUUUAUUUACUUCUACAGUUAUAUAGGUACCACAUACAUGUAAUAUGUACUGACCCCUUUUAUGUCCAUCUUAUCUUUUUUUGAUGUGUAUGCAGUUGAUUGUCAAAGAGGAGUGCGAGGAGCCAUCUCAUAUAGAUUCACUAAGCUAGGGACUUUAUAUUAUUAGCUUAUGCUUAUAUAAAAGUUGGACUGUAGUAUUGAUUAUUAUUUAUGAGAUUUAUGUAUGACAUUACUUUGAUAUAUAUUGUUGUUGUAGUA